GCAAGGAGAGCAGCGUGGAAGGGAUGGUGCAGGAUGAAGGAAGGACCACGUCAUCGAGGCGUGGGGUGGAGCGGCGCUGGGACGCGAUGGUGCCCGGCAAUCUGUGCUCAGGCAGCCAGAAGCCCACGUACAGAAGUGAAGGAAGCUGGAUUGGAGGAGGGAGGGAGGUGGAGCUGUUCUAGUGACUUUUCAGAUGAUAUUGAAGAGGUGCAGGUGCUUGUUCAGGAGUUGAAGACUUGCUGCUGUUGAAGAGAGGAAGCAAAGUGAAUGCUAUUUCAGUUGUAUUUUCAGGGAUGGAUGAGAUGCGAUGUAUUUAGUUGUUAGUUCAAAACUGGAUGCACUGCAUCUCGGUUGUAAUGUUCAGAAUGUAAUUAAUUUUUCAAAGUUGAUUAAAAUAGUGAGACUAUCAAAGCUGAGUGCUUGUAAAUUUUAGAAUGAACUCAGAGAGAAAUGAGACAUUUAAACCUGAUUCAGAUUAAGUUCACAGGUCAGAAACUUCUUUCAGUUUAUAGCCUCACAGACAUGAGUACACAUCACAAAAUAAA
rnacentral:lncRNA from 1 species